rnacentral:misc_RNA from 1 species
ACAAAAGCAAAUAAAAUUGCUGACGGAAUUCCAACUAAAUAAUAAGAUCCAAGAUUAAUAAAUGCACCAAUCUUCUGCCACCCACAUCCUCUUGCAAUGCCUGAAAGAACGCAUUGGAGUCCAUCUAAGAAGUUGGAUAUUGCAACAAUAGGCAUCAUCGUUGCCACAUAUUUGACCACCUGUAUUUCAUUACUAUAAGCAUAACCCCAAAUUCUGCGUAUGGCUAUCAAGAUUGAUCCAACCAAAAUGCCUUCUAUAAUGGCCAUUAAGACG